UACGUAGGGCGCAAGCGUUGUCCGGAAUUAUUGGGCGUAAAGAGCUCGUAGGCGGCCUGUUACGUCUGCUGUGAAAUCCCGGGGCUUAACCCCGGGCGUGCAGUGGAUACGGGCAGGCUGGAGGCAGGCAGGGGAGAACGGAAUUCCCGGUGUAGCGGUGAAAUGCGCAGAUAUCAGGAGGAACACCGGUGGCGAAGGCGGGUCUCUGGGCCGUUACUGACGCUGAGGAGCGAAAGCGUGGGGAGCGAACGGG
rnacentral:rRNA from 1 species